UCCAGGCUGGUGUAUUUAAAGCACAUAAAAUUUUCGUUUUUACGGAGGGUUAUAUCCCGCCUGGAU
rnacentral:tRNA from 1 species